UACGUAGGGUGCGAGCGUUAAUCGGAAUUACUGGGCGUAAAGCGUGCGCAGGCGGUUUUGUAAGCCAGAUGUGAAAUCCCCGGGCUUAACCUGGGAAUGGCAUUUGGGACUGCAAGGCUUGAGUGCGGCAGAGGAGACUGGAAUUCCUGGUGUAGCGGUGAAAUGCGCAGAUAUCAGGAGGAACACCGGUGGCGAAGGCGGUGGUCUGGGCCGGAACUGACGCUGAGGAGCGAAAGCGUGGGGAGCGAACCGG
rnacentral:rRNA from 1 species